UCCGUAGGUGAACCUGCGGAAGGAUCAUUCAUAAUAAGUGUUUUAUGGCACUUUUUAAAUCCAUAUCCACCUUGUGUGCAAUGUCAGUCGAUCUUCUUCAUGGAGAUCGACCAAACAUCAACCUUUAUUUUUUAACUCUUUGUCUGAAAAAUAUUAUGAAUAAACAAUUCAAAAUACAACUUUCAACAACGGAUCUCUUGGCUCUCGCAUCGAUGAAGAACGCAGCGAAAUGCGAUACGUAAUGUGAAUUGCAGAAUUCAGUGAAUCAUCGAAUCUUUGAACGCAUAUUGCGCUCUUUGGUAUUCCGAAGAGCAUGCUUGUUUGAGUAUCAGUAAACACCUCAAAGCUUUUGGAUUUUUUAAUCGAAAAGCUUUGGACUUGAGCAAUCCCAACACCAAUCUUUUUGAGAUCGGUGGCGGGUUGCUUGAAAUGCAGGUGCAGCUGGACAUUCUCCUGAGCUAAAAGCAUAUUCAUUUAGUCCCGUCAAACGGAUUAUUACUUUUGCUGCAGCUAACGUAAAGGGAGUUUGACCGUGUUGGCUGACUGAUGCAGGAUUUCACAAGGGUCGGCAACGAUUCUUGUUAAACUCGAUCUCAAAUCAAGUAAGACUACCCGCUGAACUUAAGCAUAUCAAUAAGCGGAGGAAAAGAAACUAACAAGGAUUCCCCUAGUAACGGCGAGUGAAGCGGGAUGAGCUCAAAUUUAAAAUCUGGCUGGUUUACUAGUCCGAAUUGUAGUUUAUAGAAGCGUUUUCGGUGGCAGCCUGGGUAUAAAUCCUUUGGAAUAGGGUAUCAUAGAGGGUGAGAAUCCCGUCUUUGACUCAGUGCAUGCUACUAUGUGAUACGUUUUCAAAGAGUCGAGUUGUUUGGGAAUGCAGCUCAAAAUGGGUGGUAAAUUUCAUCUAAAGCUAAAUAUUGGCGAGAGACCGAUAGCGAACAAGUACCGUGAGGGAAAGAUGAAAAGGACUUUGAAAAGAGAGUUAAACAGUGCGUGAAAUUGUUGAAAGGGAAACGCUUGAAGU
rnacentral:sRNA from 1 species